GAUGAACGCUGGCGGCGUGCUUAACACAUGCAAGUCGAACGAUGAAGCCCAGCUUGCUGGGUGGAUUAGUGGCGAACGGGUGAGUAACACGUGAGUAACCUGCCCUUGACUCUGGGAUAAGCCUGGGAAACUGGGUCUAACACUGGAUAUGACUUCUCAUCGCAUGGUGGGGGGUGGAAAGAUUUAUUGGUCUUGGAUGGACUCGCGGCCUAUCAGCUUGUUGGUGAGGUAAUGGCUCACCAAGGCGACGACGGGUAGCCGGCCUGAGAGGGUGACCGGCCACACUGGGACUGAGACACGGCCCAGACUCCUACGGGAGGCAGCAGUGGGGAAUAUUGCACAAUGGGCGCAAGCCUGAUGCAGCGACGCCGCGUGAGGGAUGACGGCCUUCGGGUUGUAAACCUCUUUCAGUAGGGAAGAAGCGAGAGUGACGGUACCUGCAGAAGAAGCGCCGGCUAACUACGUG
rnacentral:rRNA from 1 species